rnacentral:rRNA from 1 species
ACGGGAGGCAGCAGUGAGGAAUAUUGGUCAAUGGGCGAGAGCCUGAACCAGCCAAGUAGCGUGCAGGAUGACGGCCCUAUGGGUUGUAAACUGCUUUUAUAGGGGAAUAAAGUGAGCCACGUGUGGUUUUUUGCAUGUACCCUAUGAAUAAGGACCGGCUAAUUCCGUGCCAGCAGCCGCGGUAAUACGGAAGGUCCGGGCGUUAUCCGGAUUUAUUGGGUUCAAAGGGAGCGUAGGCCGGAGAUUAAGCGUGUUGUGAAAUGUAGAUGCUCAACAUCUGAACUGCAGCGCGAACUGGUUUCCUUGAGUACGCAUAAAGUGGGCGGAAUUCGUGGUGUAGCGGUGAAAUGCUUAGAUAUCACGAAGAACUCCGAUUGCGAAGGCAGCUCACUGGGGCGCAACUGACGCUGAAGCUCGAAAGCGCGGGUAUCGAACAGGAUUAGAUACCCUGGUAGUCCGCGCGGUAAACGAUGGAUGCCCGCUGUUGGGUCAACUGGUUCAGCGGCCAAGCGAAAGCAUUAAGCAUCCCACCUGGGGAGUACGCCGGCAACGGUGCAACUCAAAUGAAUU